GGAAUUUGGAAGAGAAAGGUUGACAUUUUGUUCAUUACAUGUAUCAGUUUACAUCAGGAUUUCCACUGGCUGCAAUCAUGUGAGCUUGGAGGGUAGAAAUUGGAAGUGAGAGGAACCAUUCAAUUCCACCAAUUGGAUGGGACGUUUCGUAGUUUAACUUCAUCCUGAUCAACUAUUUGUGACUCACGUAAUAUGUAUUUCUAAGAAUACAUUGAACAUAGAAAAAUGAA